AAACCCUAAAUGUACCCUAAUAGGCUUUUCUUCACGUACGUUCCUUUAUCCUUGCAUCAGCCUCUACAAAUCAGGAACGGCGAAAAAUUUAGUCUUAGGUUUGUCAAAAUCAGCAUCGGAAGCGCGACGAAGUGAGCAAGCAGCAACGACGACCAAAACAACCCGAAACGGCAGUCAUUUAGGGAUUCGGAUUUCGGAUUUUGCGGCAAGUGCAGCGACGGCGGUGACUCGGAUUCUCCUUUCUUUCGAUUUCAGGUUACCUCAAAUCGAUAACAGUCGAACACCUCCGCACGAACUCUCAGGCCACGGAGAACUCUCAGACCACGGAUCGAUUGAACAGAGGUGCUGAUUGUUUGUCGGUUGGAGAAGGGGCGUUUGUGGAGCACCACCCGAGCGGAAGGGUUUUCGUGGAAUAAAGAAUCAAUUGCGUUCAGGUUCUCUAUUGUUUUUGCGAGUCGUUACAGGUACUAUACGUGUUA